rnacentral:rRNA from 1 species
AGUGAACGCUGGCGGCGUGCUUAACACAUGCAAGUCGAACGAGAACGGAUUAUGGAUUGCUAUAAUUGUCAGCUAAGUGGCGCACGGGUGAGUAAUGUAUAGGUAAUAUGCCUCUUACUAAGGGAUAACAAUUGGAAACGAUUGCUAAUACCUUAUAUUCCUUUUUAUCAAAAGAUAAAAAGGGAAAGAUUUAUUGGCAAGAGAUUAGGCUGUAUUGUAUCAGUUAGUUGGUGGGGUAAUGGCCUACCAAGACAAUGACGCAUAACUGGUUUGAGAGGAUGAUCAGUCACACUGGAACUGAGACACGGUCCAGACGCCUACGGGAGGCAGCAGUGGGGAAUAUUGCACAAUGGACGAAAGUCUGAUGCAGCAACGCCGUGUGGAGGAUGACACAUUUCGGUGCGUAAACUCCUUUUAUAUAAGAAGAUAAUGACGGUAUUAUAUGAAUAAGCACCGGCUAACUCCGUGCCAGCCGCCGCAGUAA